GCAUAGCUCAGUUGGUUGGAGCAUGAUGCUGACAAUGCCAAGGUUGCAGGUUCAAUCCCAACAUGGGACAGCUGCA
rnacentral:tRNA from 1 species